rnacentral:rRNA from 1 species
AUUGAACGCUGGCGGCAGGCUUAACACAUGCAAGUCGAACGAGUGGCGGACGGGUGAGUAAUGUCUGGGAAACUGCCUGAUGGAGGGGGAUAACUACUGGAAACGGUAGCUAAUACCGCAUACCAUCAGAUGUGCCCAGAUGGGAUUAGCUAGUUGGUGGGGUAACGGCUUACCAAGGCGACGAUCCCUAGCUGGUCUGAGAGGAUGACCAGCCACCCUGGAACUGAGACACGGUCCAGACUCAUACGGGAGGCAGCAGUUGGGAAUAUUGGACAAUGGGCGCAAGCCUGAGGCAGACAUGCCGCGUGUAUGAAGAAGGCCUUCGGGUUGUAAAGUACUUUCAGCGGGGAGGCGUUACCCGCAGAAGAAGCACCGGCUAACUCCGUGCCAGCAGCCGCGGUAAUAC